rnacentral:rRNA from 1 species
UGGGGAAUUUUGGACAAUGGGCGAAAAGCCCUGAUCCCAGCAAUGCCGCGUGUGUGAAGAAGGCCUUCGGGUUGUAAAGCACUUUUGUCCGGAAAGAAAUGGCUCUGGUUAAUACCUGGGGUCGAUGACGGUACCGGAAGAAUAAGGACCGGCUAACUACGUGCCAGCAGCCGCGGUAAUACGUAGGGUCCAAGCGUUAAUCGGAAUUACUGGGCGUAAAGCGUGCGCAGGCGGUUGUGCAAGACCGAUGUGAAAUCCCCGAGCUUAACUUGGGAAUUGCAUUGGUGACUGCACGGCUAGAGUGUGUCAGAGGGGGGUAGAAUUCCACGUGUAGCAGUGAAAUGCGUAGAGAUGUGGAGGAAUACCGAUGG